rnacentral:rRNA from 1 species
AGUGAACGCUGGCGGUAGGCCUAACACAUGCAAGUCGAACGGCAGCACAGAGGAGCUUGCUCCUUGGGUGGCGAGUGGCGGACGGGUGAGGAAUACAUCGGAAUCUACUCUGUCGUGGGGGAUAACGUAGGGAAACUUACGCUAAUACCGCAUACGACCUACGGGUGAAAGCAGGGGAUCUUCGGACCUUGCGCGAUUGAAUGAGCCGAUGUCGGAUUAGCUAGUUGGCGGGGUAAAGGCCCACCAAGGCGACGAUCCGUAGCUGGUCUGAGAGGAUGAUCAGCCACACUGGAACUGAGACACGGUCCAGACUCCUACGGGAGGCAGCAGUGGGGAAUAUUAGACAAUGGGCGCAAGCCUGAUCCAGCCAUACCGCGUGGGUGAAGAAGGCCUUCGGGUUGUAAAGCCCUUUUGUUGGGGAAGAAAUCCAUCUGGUUAAUACCCGGGUGGGAUGACGGUACCCAAAGAAUAAGCACCGGCUAACUUCGUGCCAGCAGCCGCAGUAA